rnacentral:rRNA from 1 species
GUAAUGUGAAUUGCAGAAUUCAGUGAAUCAUCGAAUCUUUGAACGCACCUUGCGCCCUUUGGUAUUCCGAAGGGCACACCUGUUUGAGUGUCGUGA